rnacentral:rRNA from 1 species
UACGUAGGGUGCGAGCGUUAAUCGGAAUUACUGGGCGUAAAGCGUGCGCAGGCGGUGAUGUAAGACAGUUGUGAAAUCCCCGGGCUCAACCUGGGAAUUGCAUCUGUGACUGCAUCGCUAGAGUACGGUAGAGGGGGAUGGAAUUCCGCGUGUAGCAGUGAAAUGCGUAGAUAUGCGGAGGAACACCGAUGGCGAAGGCAAUCCCCUGGACCUGUACUGACGCUGAGGUGCGAAAGCGUGGGGAGCAAACAGG